UGAUUCCGAAGGCAAGUGCACCAGAGCUUCUCUGUUGUUCGGCUCGAUCAUGCCAGUUUAAAACUAAUAGAGCUUCUGAUUAUUCACAACAUUUCAACAGUCAUUUGAAAUCUGCAGAAGAAGUCUGCCACUCACUUUGUUGUCCACUCUGCUCACAAGAGUUCACAAGUGGCCGUAACUGGUUAAGGCAUUAUAAAAGAGUUCACACUGUGGAAGUGCACAAAUCACAGAAAAGGCAAGCCAACUCCUCAAGUACAUGUGAUCCAUCAAGUGCUUCUUGCGAGGUGAAUGAAUAUGGUGAUGAGUGUAUGCUGGAGAGCAGUGAGGCACCAAAGACUGAGGGAAGUAGGGAAAAGGUUGCCAAGAUCCUCCUCAAAUAUCAUAUCGAGUAUGGGCUGCCAAAGGCUGCAACCUCUCUUUUGGCCAGUGACGUUGGUGAACUGAUAGAUAGAGCUAUCAGGGAGCAGUCUGAAUGUCCGCCUCCUGGGCAGUCAGUAAAAGAUGCAUGCGAAGAAUUUGAGAGUGAAUAUAAAUUGACAAAAUUCUGUCACGAGGACCUUGGGUACAUUGCACCAAGUACCCUGGUUUUCACCUCGGGAGGCAAAGAACAGAAAGCAAGUUAUCAGUAUGUAGAUCUGAAGAAACAGUUGAGGUUUUUGGUUGAGAAUGGUAAACUGGAAGGCUGCAAAGAAAGCAAGGCAAUCAAGCUGGUGAUCUAUUUCGACGAUUUCGGAGUUUGCAAUCCUCUGCGUAGCAAAGCAGCCAACUAUUCCAUAGGUGCUGUGUACUUUGCUGUUGAUGAAGUUUCAACAAUGUCAGCACUCAGUGACAUCUACCUGCUUCUUCUCUGCCCUACCAAACUCAUGAAGGAGCAUGGCAUGGGCACCAUCAUGAAGCCAGUAACUGACUCCCUCAGUGAUCUCGUGGACCAUGGUUUGGACGCUUGCAAUGCGCAUUUCUCCGUUUCUCUGGAGUUUGUCAGUGGAGACAAUCUUGGAAUCCACAAAGUCGCCGGGUUUCAAGAAACGUUUUCGUCGGGACCCCGCCCGUGCAGAACAUGCUAUGCCACUAAUAAUGAGUUCAAUGAGAAGCUCACGGAGGAAGACUUGAUACUGCGCACAGAAGAGCAAUACCGGAAAGAACUGGAUAUGUUUGAAAGCGAAGGAUGCGAUGAGGAAACGAAAGGCACAGGAAUCAAAUCGAAAUGUGUUUUCGACGAAAUCAAAGGAUUUGAGGUCACAUCGAUGUUCCCUCCUGACAUCGCACAUGACCUCUUUGAAAGCGGAGUUGUCACUCAUUGUCUUGCGCUGGUGCUGUCAUACUUGAUAUUUCAGAUGAAGCUCUUCACACUCAGUGCCGUGCAGAAAGCAAUGAAGUCGUUCACAUACACCAGACCGCUAUACCGCUAACCUAGUACGCUAUAUGGAUCUAGCGGACCGGGCGCUCGAGCAGUGGCCAGCUCUGCUGCACGGCUUGACUUCAAGGCAGGCACUGGAGCAAGUAAAAAACAAGAUUCAAUGGCGUGUGAGGAACUAUAAACGACCGGACCCGGGUGUCAUGGGAUCAUUCAAGCGGCCGGCCCAGGCGACAGCGGCGAAGAAGGCGAAGAAGUCCAGACGCUACGAAAACUUCUAGGGAUAUCAAGACUACCUCCCGCCGGAACCAGAGGAGGACAUGCAAGUUCACAGGAAUCGGCUAAGGCAAGAGGGACUAACCGAGGAAGAGCGGGAAGCGCUGCGAGACUUGACAUUCGCGGACCGCCGUCGACACGCCGUGGCUCUCUCGACGCCAAUGAAGAAGUUCCUGCACAUGUACCCCAUGAUGAAGAAUCACCAAGAGAUCUGGUACGAGCUGGAGAGGAUCAGCGACGGACAGGGUUCCCGUCUUCAGGAAUACCGGAAGCGAUUGUGCGACUUCCUCACCGCUGUGCAGAUGCACACUGAGUGCGAAGAUGAUGACAAGGUGGAUUCGCUACUGGAAUAUCUCCUGGUGGAUCCAGAGGAGAUAUUCGGGUCCGCUGGCAGCCAAACGAUGCCGCACUUCGAGGAGAGCCCGAAUGGUUCUCUGACACUGGUUGUCGAGGGCCAGCGGGUGGUCGAGGACGUGGAAAUGACGCGCAGCGAUGCCCUUCUGCUGUGGGCGGCGUCCUUCCCAGUGUAUAACCAAAAGCCGCCCACAAAAACCGCAAAAAAUGCACUCGCAUUCCUGUCUGAGCAGGUUUUUGAGAAGGCCCGGGGCAGCGUGGUGGUUGGAAACCGCGCCCUGAAGCGUAUUCAGCAGAUCAAACAACUGACUGAAUAAGCCCCUCACACACACACACACGACAUCCUUUGAUACAGUGCGUCUCAGAAUGUUUACGUCGUCCGUGUUGUUUUGAAUGUUUACGUGACGAUGUUGUUCAGUUCCUGUUAUAACUGAAACUGUUCCAGUUUCAGUUCAGUUCCUGGGUCGUUUUUUUUUUCUCAAAAUGACACAGUUCCUGUCGUCUGUGUCGUUUUUAAUGUUUACGUGACGAUGUUGUUCAGUUUCUGGUGGACACCUGUCCUGGCAAGGCGGCGUUCGUUUGUAUUUGCAGCUCAGAAUGUGUGCUAUAGUCAUUCGCUCCAGGCAUCCAAGUCGGUUGUUCGUUUGAUGCAUGGCGUCUCAGAUUCGUUUGUGACAUGGCGGCUCAGAUUGUGACGCGAACAUGUUUUGAAUAGAUAUUUAUUCACAAUCGAUGGCAACACAAAUCGAAUUCCUAAAUCCAGACGUUUCGACAGCAGUGUGCCUUCGUCAGUGGCUAAAUUAAAAAUAUAUAUAAUAUCAAAAACAAUCGCUAUAAGUCUUGUGUCUUGUAUAAUCUUGUAUGCGUAUCUUGUAUCUUGUAUGUCUUGUGUGUGAACGACUUAUAGCGAUUGUUUUUGAUAUUAUAUAUAUUUUUAAUUUAGCCACUGACGAAGGCACACUGCUGUCGAAACGUUUGGAUUUAGGAAUUCGAUUUGUGUUGCCAUCGAUUGUGAAUAAAUAUCUAUAUGUCUGAUAAUUUACAUGUUUUGAAUAAAAUGUCGACAAGUUUCGAAA